AAGUCUGGUUCCCGAGCAAGGUGUGGGGAUGAGGGGCUGCGACCACUGGGGCUACCUACCCUUAUGGCCAGUUUCUUGACUCUACUCUAGGUGGGCUCCAUCCCUGCCAAUGCUGCCGACGACGGACAGUGGUCACAGGGGCUGAUUUCUGCUGCCCGGAUGGUGGCGGCUGCGACCAGCAGUCUCUGUGAGGCGGCCAAUGCCUCCGUUCAGGGACAUGCCAGCGAGGAGAAGCUCAUCUCAUCUGCCAAGCAGGUCGCCGCUUCCACGGCUCAGCUGCUGGUGGCCUGCAAGGUGAAGGCCGACCAGGAUUCAGAGGCCAUGAGGCGGCUACAGGCGGCAGGAAAUGCUGUGAAAAGAGCCUCAGACAAUCUUGUCCGUGCAGCCCAGAAGGCAGCAUUUGGCAAAGCUGAUGAUGACGAUGUUGUAGUGAAAACCAAGUUUGUGGGGGGCAUUGCUCAGAUCAUCGCCGCCCAGGAGGAAAUGCUAAAGAAAGAGCGAGAACUGGAAGAAGCAAGGAAAAAACUGGCCCAGAUCCGCCAGCAGCAGUAUAAGUUUUUACCCACCGAGC
rnacentral:sRNA from 1 species